AUUUAUGUGACACCAAUGAUGAUACUUGUGCUGCGGUAGUGAUUGCUUGCUUAACGGAAAAGAAAAAAAUAAAGUGGAAAAGAAAGCAGAGGGUAUGGAUGAAGAAAUAGCUGAAGAAGAGGGAUCAACUUAGUCAUGAUCGGUCAGUAACUGAGCUUAUAAUAUAUUGAAAUAUAUUUUUGUAUGCCGCAUCCUUCUUAAUUCUAUUCUUAUAGAUUUUACUUUUAAGUUUUAACUUUCCAUAAUUCAGGGAACUCAUGAUAAAGGGCGAUAAAUUCAAGGCAAAAAAA